UACAGAGGGGGCAAGCGUUGUUCGGAAUUACUGGGCGUAAAGGGCGCGUAGGCGGCCCGCUAAGUCGAACGUGAAAUCCCCGAGCUCAACUCGGGAACUGCGUCCGAUACUGGCGGGCUUGAAUCCGGGAGAGGGAUGCGGAAUUCCAGGUGUAGCGGUGAAAUGCGUAGAUAUCUGGAGGAACACCGGUGGCGAAGGCGGCGUUCUGGACUGCAACUGACACUGAGGAACGAAAGCCAGGGUAGCAAACGGG
rnacentral:rRNA from 1 species